rnacentral:rRNA from 1 species
AUUGAACGCUGGCGGCAGGCUUAACACAUGCAAGUCGAGCGGAGAGAGGUAGCUUGCUACUGAUCUUAGCGGCGGACGGGUGAGUAAUGCUUAGGAAUCUGCCUAUUAGUGGGGGACAACAUUUCGAAAGGAAUGCUAAUACCGCAUACGUCCUACGGGAGAAAGCAGGGGAUCUUCGGACCUUGCGCUAAUAGAUGAGCCUAAGUCGGAUUAGCUAGUUGGUGGGGUAAAGGCCUACGAAGGCGACGAUCUGUAGCGGGUCUGAGAGGGUGAUCCGCCACACUGGGACUGAGACACGGCCCAGACUCCUACGGGAGGCAGCAGUGGGGAAUAUUGGACAAUGGGCGGAAGCCUGAUCCAGCCAUGUCGCGUGUGUGAAGAAGGCCUUAUGGUUGUAAAGCACUUUAAGCGAGGAGGAGGCUACUUUAGUUAAUACCUAGAGAUAGUGGACGUUACUCGCAGAAUAAGCACCGGCUAACUCUGUGCCAGCAGCCGCCGUAA